UACGGAGGGGGCAAGCGUUAUCCGGAUUCACUGGGCUUAAAGGGUGCGUAGGCGGGCAAGUAAGUCAGUGGUGAAAUCUCCGGGCUUAACCCGGAAACUGCCAUUGAUACUAUUUGUCUUGAAUACUGUGGAGGUCAGCGGAAUAUGUCAUGUAGCGGUGAAAUGCUUAGAUAUGACAUAGAACACCAAUUGCGAAGGCAGCUGGCUGCACAAAUAUUGACACUGAGGCACGAAAGCGUGGGGAUCAAACAGG
rnacentral:rRNA from 1 species